GACGAACGCUGGCGGCGUGCUUAACACAUGCAAGUCGAACGGAAAGGCCCUGCUUUUGUGGGGUGCUCGAGUGGCGAACGGGUGAGUAACACGUGAGUAACCUGCCCUUAACUUUGGGAUAACUUCAGGAAACUGGGGCUAAUACCGGAUAGGAGCUCCUGCUGCAUGGUGGGGGUUGGAAAGUUUCGGCGGUUGGGGAUGGACUCGCGGCUUAUCAGCUUGUUGGUGGGGUAGUGGCUACCAAGGCUUUGACGGGUAGCCGGCCUGAGAGGGUGACCGGCCACAUUGGGACUGAGAUACGGCCCAGACUCCUACGGGAGGCAGCAGUGGGGAAUAUUGCACAAUGGGCGGAAGCCUGAUGCAGCAACGCCGCGUGCGGGAUGACGGCCUUCGGGUUGUAAACCGCUUUCGCCUGUGACGAAGCGUGAGUGACGGUAAUGGGUAAAGAAGCACCGGCUAACUACGUG
rnacentral:rRNA from 1 species